rnacentral:misc_RNA from 1 species
AUGGAGGCUCCGCAGCAACUCAAUGCAAGUCCCUCUCUCCUCUUUAUCUUUAUCUACCCAUCUUUCUAUUGUUAUUAAACCUGGACUGGUGAACCAGACCUCAAACUGGUCUGGAGCGAACAAAGAAGAAGAUACCCAAUGUGACUAGCUUGAACCUGUGAAUUGGUGUAACCCGUUUGAAAUGGCUGGUCCAACAAAUAAAUAGGG